rnacentral:rRNA from 1 species
AUACGUAGGGGGCGGGCGUUGUCCGGAAUGAUUGGGCGUAAAGGGCGCGUAGGCGGCGCGGUAAGUCUGGAGUGAAAGUCCUGCUUUCAAGGUGGGAAUUGCUUUGGAUACUGCCGCGCUUGAGUGCAGGAGAGGUAAGUGGAAUUCCCAGUGUAGCGGUGAAAUGCGUAGAGAUUGGGAGGAACACCAGUGGCGAAGGCGACUUACUGGACUGUAACUGACGCUGAGGCGCGAAAGUGUGGGGAGCAAACAGGAUUAGAUACCCUGGUAGUCCACACUGUAAACGAUGAAUGCUAGGUGUAUGGGGUAUCGACCCCUUCUGUGCCGCAGUCAACACAAUAAGCAUUCCGCCUGGGGAGUACGGCCGCAAGGUUGAAACUCAAAGGAAUUGACGGGG